rnacentral:rRNA from 1 species
GGCGUGCUUAACACAUGCAAGUCGAACGAUGAAGCCCAGCUUGCUGGGUGGAUUAGUGGCGAACGGGUGAGUAACACGUGAGUAACCUGCCCUCCACUCUGGGAUAACUCCGGGAAACCGGUGCUAAUACUGGAUAUGACCUUGGCCCGCAUGGGUUGGGGUGGAAAGAUUUAUCGGUGGUGGAUGGACUCGCGGCCUAUCAGCUUGUUGGUGGGGUAAUGGCCUACCAAGGCGACGACGGGUAGCCGGCCUGAGAGGGUGACCGGCCACACUGGGACUGAGACACGGCCCAGACUCCUACGGGAGGCAGCAGUGGGGAAUAUUGCACAAUGGGCGAAAGCCUGAUGCAGCGACGCCGCGUGCGGGAUGACGGCCUUCGGGUUGUAAACCGCUUUCAGCUCUGACGAAGCUUUUGUGACGGUAGGAGCAGAAGAAGCACCGGCUAACUACGUGCCAGCAGCCGCGGUAAUACGUAGGGUGCGAGCGUUGUCCGGAAUUAUUGGGCGUAAAGAGCUUGUAGGCGGCUUGUCGCGUCUGCUGUGAAAUCCCGGGGCUUAACCCCGGGCUUGCAGUGGGUACGGGCAGGCUAGAGUGUGGUAGGGGAGACUGGAAUUCCUGGUGUAGCGGUGGAAUGCGCAGAUAUCAGGAGGAACACCGAUGGCGAAGGCAGGUCUCUGGGCCAUUACUGACGCUGAGAAGCGAAAGCGUGGGGAGCGAACAGGAUUAGAUACCCUGGUAGUCCACGCCGUAAACGUUGGGCGCUAGGUGUGGGUCCCAUUCCACGGGGUCCGUGCCGCAGCUAACGCAUUAAGCGCCCCGCGUGGGGAG